rnacentral:rRNA from 1 species
AUUGAACGCUGGCGGCAUGCCUUACACAUGCAAGUCGAACGGCAGCACGGGAGCAAUCCUGGUGGCGAGUGGCGAACGGGUGAGUAAUACAUCGGAACGUGCCCAAUCGUGGGGGAUAACGCAGCGAAAGCUGUGCUAAUACCGCAUACGAUCUACGGAUGAAAGCAGGGGAUCGCAAGACCUUGCGCGAAUGGAGCGGCCGAUGGCAGAUUAGGUAGUUGGUGAGGUAAAGGCUCACCAAGCCGUCGAUCUGUAGCUGGUCUGAGAGGACGACCAGCCACACUAGGACUGAGACACGGCCCAGACUCCUACGGGAGGCAGCAGUGGGGAAUUUUGGACAAUGGGCGAAAGCCUGAUCCAGCCAUGCCGCGUGCAGGAUGAGGGCCUCCGGGUUGUAAACUGCUUUUGUACGGAACGAAACGGCCUUUUCUAAUAAAGAGGGCUAAUGACGGUACCGUAAGAAUAAGCACCGGCUAACUACGUGCCAGCAGCCGCGGUAAUACGUAGGGUGCAAGCGUUAAUCGGAAUUACUGGGCGUAAAGCGUGCGCAGGCGGUUAUGUAAGACAGUUGUGAAAUCCCCGGGCUCAACCUGGGAACUGCAUCUGUGACUGCAUAGCUAGAGUACGGUAGAGGGGGAUGGAAUUCCGCGUGUAGCAGUGAAAUGCGUAGAUAUGCGGAGGAACACCGAUGGCGAAGGCAAUCCCCUGGACCUGUACUGACGCUCAUGCACGAAAGCGUGGGGAGCAAACAGG